UACGUAGGGUGCAAGCGUUAAUCGGAAUUACUGGGCGUAAAGCGUGCGCAGGCGGUUUUGUAAGUCUGACGUGAAAGCCCCGGGCUCAACCUGGGAAUUGCGUUGGAGACUGCAAGGCUAGAAUCUGGCAGAGGGGGGUAGAAUUCCACGUGUAGCAGUGAAAUGCGUAGAGAUGUGGAGGAACACCGAUGGCGAAGGCAGCCCCCUGGGUCAAGAUUGACGCUCAUGCACGAAAGCGUGGGGAGCAAACAGG
rnacentral:rRNA from 1 species